rnacentral:rRNA from 1 species
UUUGGUGGCGAUAGCGAAGAGGUCACACCCGUUCCCAUGCCGAACACGGAAGUUAAGCUCUUCAGCGCCGAUGGUAGUUGGGGGCUUCCCC